rnacentral:lncRNA from 1 species
CUUGAGCACCUAGUUUAUUUCUGGCUUUACCUGCUGGGUACGUGGUAAGCCGCAAUAAAUUAAAUAAUACCGUUCCUUGCAAUAAUAUAUUGAAAUUGAAUAUAAAUCCGAUAGAGUUUAAUUAUGUUCAUCUACCUCACAGGUAAAUAUUGCCCUCUUGUUAUUGAUUGAGAUGUGCGUGAUCCGCAUGGCAAACCUAACAAUGUCUAGAAUUUCUUUUGAAAAUUAAGUUGGAAAAGGAAUGAAAAUAGAUAAAAUGAGAGAAAAUUUAGGAGAGAUGAGGAAAGAGAGUGGGCAGAGUAGAGGUGUCAAGCGGGCCUUGCCGGCACGGCACGGCACGAGCACGGCACGAAAAAAACCCGGCACGAGCACGCUUGGGCAGGGUAAAAGUUGGGCACGGAACGACCACGGCACGGCACGGUCUGAGACGGGCACGGGCACCGGGCACGAGGCACGAAAAUGGGAGAGCACGGCCACGGGGCACAGCACGAUAGUUGCUCACAAAGCACGAAUGGCCGGCACGGUCAAAGUACGGCACGGCACGGGGCAUGGACACGACAGUUGAUUUGGUUUGGCAUGGCAUGGCCGGCACGGCACAACACAGACCUUAGCCAAGAACGGCACAGCAUGGGCACGAAUGUGUCACGGGCAAAAACCUGGGUAGACACGGAUAAUUGGCCUGACACGACACGGAAGUGACAAGGAAAUGAUAAUUAUUAAAUAAAUUAAAAUAAAAUUUAAUUAAAGAAAUUGACUUGCCAGGUAAUUUUAUUUGUAAAAAUUUGAACAAAAAGAAUAAAGAAAAGUAAAAUAAAUAAAUUUUUGACUUAUUCAUGGGUCAUUGGGGGGGCUGUAAAUAAAUAAAUAAUAAAAUAAAAAUAUAUUUUUAUUAAAUAAAUGACUUUUCAAAGGCCAUAAUAAGAAAAAAAUUGAGGAAAAAGUUAAAAUAAAGUAAGGAAUAACAAAAAUGAAAAAAUAAAAAAUAAAUAAAAAAUUAAAAAUUUGAAAACAAACUAUAAAUUUUAAAAUUUGGACUUAUGGCCCAUAUUAGGCCAUAAUAAGACAAAAAUAAAAUUUUAAAAAAUAAAACUUUGUAUUUAACAAAUGAGAAAAAAAAUAAAAAAUAAAAUUUUCAAUAAUAAAUAAUAAAAAUAAAAAUUUUGAAUUGAUAGACAAAAUUGAAUUUUUAUAAUUAUUAAUCUGUAUAAAAAAUUUGAUUUAUCUAUGCGCUAAACCACAACAAUCGCAACAUAAUUAUGACAAUUACACCAUCACUUUGGUUGUAGGUCACUCUCGUCGAAUUGAACAUCUAUCGAAUAUUGAAAGCCCUUCAUCACUUGUUGAAUAUAACGAGUGGUGGCAUAACCCCUCGAACUGCACUUUUUUCACAUUUUAGUUUUUUUACCUGUUGAAUAUAACGAGGUGGUGGCAGAACCCCUCGGAACUACACUUUUUCACAUUUUUAUAGUUGGUUGUGAUCUUAAUAAUUUAAGAUUUGACUAGCUUCUAAUACAAAAUAGGCAUUAUAUUCUCAAUGGAAGUUAAUAACGAUUUUGUCGUCAUUGACACUCCUUAUAAAUGUAUUUAGUUGGCGACAUUUUAAGCGACCGACACGACAAGAUUAAAAAAACGGGACAUGGCACGACCGAUUAAGUAGACCGGCACGGCAUGCACGAGUCAACCCGACUAAGUUAGUGGGCCGGCACGACACAGCAUAAUUAAGUAAGCGGCCGGCACGACACAGAUGAUAAGUAAAUGGGCCAGCACGGCAGACACGGUUAUAAAUGGCACGGGCACGGCACGAACACGAAUAAAAAAAAUAAACCACACGGCACGAUUAAAAAUGGCACGGCCAACGAUUAAGGCACGGCCACGGCAAGGCACGUUAAGUAAAUGGAGCCCAACACGGCACGGCACGAAGCACGGAAGAAAAGUGGCACGGCCCGGCACGGCGGGCACUCGACCACCUCUAUGGCUAGGCAUAGGUUGGCGUGUAAAUCGUUUUUAACUGUUGGCCCAAUAUCCUUGAGAAUAACCUUUCAGGUUUAACUCGUUGGUGUUUUAUUAAUUUUGAGAACAACGAUGGAUUAAUUUUGAUAACAUGUAGAGUGACCAAGAAAAAUGAACGUAUGGUCCCAAACAAAAGCUUUUGAGAGGAUAGUUUCGAGUUGACUCUAUACCCACGACCUCUCCAAUCAAAAACCUAAGCCCAAGUGGUAAUGGGCGGCCUUACCAGGACUUAGGUCCUGGGCUCGAUUCUCACUCCCACCCCUGGACAUAAGGCGCAAUCACUUUGGGCGAACAUUCGGUACACGAGCUAACACUUGGAGGUAUCAUGUUCGAUUCCUAGUGGCUGCGCCGUAUAUCCACGUUUACAUUCUUAGGUGUGAAGGGCUAACUGCUCAGGAUACAAAAAUUAGUCUGGGUGGGCCCAAAGGCCUCUCUUGGAUACUCUGUGGCUAAUAAAAAAAAAACUAUUGAUAAUUAUAUGUCAAUAGCA